AUUGAACGCUGGCGGUAUGCUUAACACAUGCAAGUCGGACGGCAGCAUGGUGUGUAGCAAUACACACUGAUGGCGAGUGGCGGACGGGUGAGAAACGCGUAGGAAUCUGCCUUAUAGAGGGGGACAACUAGAGGAAACUCUAGCUAAUACCGCAUAAAGUCUAAGGACCAAAAGCUGGGGCAACCUGGCGCUAUAAGAGGAGCCUGCGUCUGAUUAGCUAGUUGGUAGGGUAAAGGCCUACCAAGGCGAUGAUCGGUAGCUGGUCUGAGA
rnacentral:rRNA from 1 species